GCAACCGACGCCCGCCUCCACAUCAUUCGUCUGAGAUUCGGAAUCCUCCUCGCCACCGCCGCCGCGACGGCGAGAUCCGUGUCCCCGGCAUUGCGGCCACCUCCGAGCGACGGCUACAAAGACCAGUGGUGCACACCAGGUUCUCAGCUUGAAUGCGGCAGGCAGGAAACGGCAGCAGAGCGGUGGAGCAGCAGCACGAACGGCGGCGAUCGGAGUCCACGGGUUUGACGGAGUUGGCGCUCGGCGGUCACGCGGGAGGCGGGAAUCGGUAGUGGUGGCGGCGGCGUUGAGAUGGAUUGGUGCUGAUUUGCCGGGAGGCCGGAGGGAUGUACUAGGCUUUGGAGUUAUUCCUUUCAGACAUGAUCUCGAUAUCAAACAACAAGUAGGCCAUUGAAACAGCAUGUAAAUUAUUGAUCUAAGUUUGGAAGCAUCGAAUGAUACGGAAAGCUGUCAAACAACAAGUAGGCCAUUGAAACAGCAUGUAAAUUAUUGAUCUAAGUUUGGAAGCAUCGAAUGAUACGGAAAGCUGUCAAACAACUUGUCCGUUUGUCUUUUACGUGGUGAAAUAUGUCAUUCCUUUUCUCUCCAAAAACUGUCAUGUAAAUUAUUGAUCUAAGUUAGUUGCAUGAAUUAUGUACGGCCAUGUUGCCUCUAAA